rnacentral:rRNA from 1 species
CACGUAGGGGGCAAGCGUUGUCCGGAUUUAUUGGGCGUAAAGAGCUCGUAGGUGGUUCGGUAAGUCGGGUGUUAAACCCCCAGGCUCAACCUGGGGACGCCACUCGAUACGGGCAGGCUCGAGUUCGGUAGGGGAGACUGGAAUUCCUGGUGUAGCGGUGAAAUGCGCAGAUAUCAGGAGGAACACCGGUGGCGAAGGCGGUGGUCUGGGCCGGCACUGACGCUGAGGAGCGAAAGCGUGGGGAGCGAACAGG